UACGUAGGGCGCAAGCGUUGUCCGGAAUUAUUGGGCGUAAAGAGCUCGUAGGCGGCUCGUCACGUCGGGUGUGAAAGCCCGGGGCUUAACCCCGGGUCUGCAUUCGAUACGGGCUAGCUAGAGUGUGGUAGGGGAGAUCGGAAUUCCUGGUGUAGCGGUGAAAUGCGCAGAUAUCAGGAGGAACACCGGUGGCGAAGGCGGAUCUCUGGGCCAUUACUGACGCUGAGGAGCGAAAGCGUGGGGAGCGAACAGG
rnacentral:rRNA from 1 species